rnacentral:rRNA from 1 species
GAAACGGCUACCACAUCUAAGGAAGGCAGCAGGCGCGUAAAUUACCCACUCCCAGUUCGGGGAGGUAGUGACGAAAAAUAACAAUACAGGACUCAUAUCCGAGGCCCUGUAAUUGGAAUGAGUACACUUUAAAUCCUUUAACAAGGACCAAUUGGAGGGCAAGUCUGGUGCCAGCAGCCGCGGUAAUUCCAGCUCCAAUAGCGUAUAUUAAAGUUGUUGCGGUUAAAACGUUCGUAGUUCAACUUGUGCUUCAUACGGGUAGUACAACUACRAUUGUGGAUUGUACAUUACCUUAUGUAUGCAAGCGUAUUAUCGGUGGAGUUCUUAUAUGUAAUGAUACUUGUAUUGUUAUAUAUACCUCCUAUUUAAACCUGCUUCAGUGCUCUUCAUCGAGUGCUGUUGUGGGCCGAUACAAUUACUUUGAACAAAUUAGAGUGCUUAAAGCAGGCUCCAAAUGCCUGAAUAUUUUGUGCAUGGAAUAAUGAAAUAAGACUUCUGAUCUACUUUCAUUGGUUUUUAGAUCAAGAUGUAAUGAUUAAUAGAAGCAGUUUGGGGGCAUUAGUAUUACGACGCGAGAGGUGAAAUUCUUGGACC